rnacentral:rRNA from 1 species
GACGAACGCUGGCGGCGUGCUUAACACAUGCAAGUCGAACGGAAAGGCCCUUCUUUUGUGGGGUGCUCGAGUGGCGAACGGGUGAGUAACACGUGAGUAACCUGCCCUUGACUUUGGGAUAACUUCAGGAAACUGGGGCUAAUACCGGAUAGGAGCUCCGGCUGCAUGGUGGGGGUUGGAAAGUUUCGGCGGUUGGGGAUGGACUCGCGGCUUAUCAGCUUGUUGGUGGGGUAGGGGCUUACCAAGGCUUUGACGGGUAGCCGGCCUGAGAGGUUGACCGGCCAAAUUGGGACUGGGAUACGGCCCAGACUCCUACGGGAGGAGGCAGUGGGGAAUAUGGAAAAAUGGGCGGAAGCCGGAGGCAGCAAGGCGGCGUGCGGGAUGACGGCCUUCGGGUUGUAAACCGCUUUCGCCUGUGACGAGGGGUGAGUGACGGUAAUGGGUAAAGAAGCACCGGCUAACUACGUG